rnacentral:tmRNA from 1 species
GGGGUUGACUGGUUUUAUAACUGGCGAAAAUAAUUACGCUCUUGCAGCCUAAUCGAAGUAUAGUAGAUUACGCUUUAUCGCUGCACAAGGUGCACCGACAAGACAUCUCGCUUUAGGGACACUCCCUGUUCCUUAGAGUAUAUGAGGUGUAGAGAAUUCAGGGAUAGUUUUCUGUGUGUCUUUCACAGGAAAUAAAACCACAAAAGACUAAGGAUACAGAUGGGUCGUUUUACGCCGGUCUUAUCUCGAAAACCAAGGUAAAACUAAGCAUGUAGAAAGCUGAUUUGUUCCGUGUUUGGACGAGGGUUCGAUUCCCUCCAGCUCCACAA